rnacentral:lncRNA from 10 species
AUAAAAUAUAAAAAUCCAGCCCAGUUCAUGACUCGUUUGGCAGCAACCCUGAGACACUUUACAGCCCUAGACCCUAAAAGGUCAAAAGGCCGUCUUAUUCUUAAUACACAUUUUAUUACCCAAUCUGCUCCCGACAUUAAAUAAAACUCCAAAAAUUAAAUUCCAGCCCUCAAACCCCACAACAAGAGUUAAUUAACCUCCCUUCAAGGUGUACAAUAAUAGAGUAGAGGCAGCCAAGUAGCAAUGUAUUUCUGAGUUGUAAUUCCUUGCCUCCACUGUGAGACAAACCCCAGCCACAUCUCCAGCACACAAGAACUCCAAACGCCUGAACCACAGCUUCCAGGGGUUCCUCCAGAACCUCCUCCCCCAGGAGCUUGCUACAAGUGCCAGAAAUCUGGCCACUGGGCCAAGGAAUGCCCACAGCCCAGGAUUCCUCCCAAGCUGUGUCCCAUCUGUGCAGGACCCCACUGAAAAUCAGACUGUUCAACUCACCUGGCAGCCACUUCCAGAGCCCCUGGAACUCUGGCCCAAGGCUCUCUGACUGACUCCUUCCCUGAUCUUCUCAGCUUAGCAGCUGAAGACUGACACUGCCUGAUUGCCUCAGAAGCCUACAGGACCAUCACAGAUGCUCUAGGUAACUCUCACAGUGGAAGGUAAGUCCGUCCCCUUCUUAAUCAAUACGGAGGCUACCCACUCCACAUUACCUUCUUUUCAAGGGCCUGUUUCCCUUGCCUCCAUAACUGUUGUAGGUAUUGGCGGCCAGGCUUCUAAACCUCUUAAAACUCCCCAACUUUGGUGCCAACUUAGACAAUACUCUUUUAAGCACUCCUUUUAAUUAUCCCCACCUGCCCAGUUCCCUUAUUAGGCCGAGACACUUCAACUAAAUUAUCUGCUUCCCUGACUAUUCCUGGGCUACAGCCACACCUCAUUGCUGCCUUUUCCCCCAGUUCAAAGCCUCCUUCACAUCAUCCCCUUCUAUCUCCCCACCUUAACCCAUAAGUAUAGGACACCUCUACUCCCUCCUUGGUGACAAAUGAUGCACCCCUUACCAUCCCAUUAAAACCUAAUCACCCUUACCCCACUCAAUACCAAUAUCCCAUCCCACACCAUGCUUUAAAAGGAUUAAAGACUGUUAUCACUCGCCUGCUACAGCAUGGCCUUUUAAAGCCUGUAAACUCCCCUUACAAUUCCCCUAUUUUACUGUUCUAAAUCCAGACAAGGCUUACAGGUUAGUUCAGGAUCUGCAACUUAUCAACCAAAUUGUUUUGCCUAUCCACCCAAUGGUGCCAAACCCAUAUACUCUCCUAUCCUCAAUACCUCCCUCCACAACCCAUUAUUCUGUUCUGGAUCUCAAACAUGCUUUCUUUACUAUUCCUUUGCACCCUUCAUCCCAGCCUCUCUUCGCUUUCACUUGGACUGACCCUGACACCCAUCAGGCUCAGCAAAUUACCUGGGCUGUACUGCCACAAGGCUUCACAGACAGCUCCCAUUACUUCAGUCAAGCCCAAAUUUCUUCCUUAUCUGUUACCUAUCUCAGCAUAAUUCUCAUAAAAACACACGUGCUCUCCCUGCCGAUCAUGUCCCACUGAUCUCUCAAACCCCAACACCUUCUAAAAAACAACAACUCCUUUCCUUCCUAGGCGUGGUUGGAUACUUUAGAUAUCUGGUUUUGCCAUCCUAACAAAACCAUUAUAUAAACUCACAAAAGGAAACCUAGCUGACCCCAUAGAUCCUAAUUCCUUUCCCCACUUCUCUUUCCAUUCCUUGAAGACAGCUUUAGAGACUGCCCCCACCCCAGCUCUCCCUGACUCAUCCCAACCCUUUUCAUUACCCACAGCCGAAGUGCAGGGCUAUGCAGUCAGAACUCUUACACAAGGACUGGGACCGUGCCCUGUAGCCUUUUUAUCCAAACAACUUGACCUUACUGUUUUAGCCUAGCCCUCAAGUCUGCGUGCGGCAGCCGCCGCUGCCCUAAUACUUUUAGAGUCCCUCAAAAUCACAAACUAUGCUCAACUCACUCUCUACAGUUCUCAUAACUUCCAAAAUCUGUUUUCUUCCUCACACCUCACACAUAUACUUUCUGCUCCCCGACUCCUUCAGCUGUACUCACUCUUUGUUGAGUCUCCCACAAUUACCAUUGUUCCUGGCCCAGACUUCAAUCCAGCCUCCCACAUUAUUCCUGAUACCACACCUGACCCUCCUGACUGUAUCUCUCUGAUACAUCUGACAUUCACCCCCAUUUUCCCAUAUUUCCUUCUUUCCUGUUCCUCACCCUGAUCACACUUGGUUUAUUGAUGGCAGUUCCACCAGGCCUAAUUGCCACACACCAGCAAAGGUAGGCUAUGCUAUAGUACAAGCCACUAGCCCGCCUCUUAUAACCUCUCAUUUCCUUUCCAUUGUGUAAAUCUAUCCUCAAGGAAAUAACUUCUCAGUGUUCUAUCUGCUAUUCUACUACUCUUCAGGGAUUAUUCAGGCCCCCUCCCUUCCCUACACAUCAAGCUCGGGGAUUUGCCCCUGCCCAGGACUGGCAAAUUAGCUUUACUCAACAUGCCCUGAGUCAGGAAACUAAAAUACCUCUUGGUCUAGGUAGACACUUUCACUGGAUAGGUAGAGGCCUUUCCCACAGGGUCUGAGAAGGCCACCACGGUCAUUUCUUCCCUUCUGUCAGACAUAAUUCCUCAGUUUGGCCUUCCCACCUCUAUACAGUCCGAUAGCAGACCGGCCUUUAUUAGUCAAAUCACCCAAGUAGUUUCUCAGGUUCUUAGUAUUCAGUAAACUAAUGGUCUUUUUAAAACACACCUCACCAUGCUCAGCCAUCAAUUAAAAGAGACUGGACAAUACUUUUACCACUUGCCCUUCUCAGAAUUCAGGCCUGUCCUCAGAAUGCUACAAGGUACAGCCCAUUUGAGCUCCUGUAUAGACGCUCCUUUUUAUUAGGCCCCAGUCUCAUUCCAGACACCAGACCAACUUGGACUGAGCCCCCCAAAAAAAAACUUGUCAUCCCUACUAUCUUCUGUCUAGUCAUACUCCUAUUCACCUUUCUCAACUACUCAUAAAUGCCCUGCUUUUGUUUACACUGCCGGUUUACACUGUUUCUCCAAGCCAUCACAGCUGGUAUCUCCUGGUGCUAUCCCCAAACCACCACUCUUAACUCCCUCUUAAAGUAAAUAAAUAAUCUUUGCUGGCAGGGCUAUGCUGAACCUCCUUAGACACUCUCUAAUUGGAUGUUCUAGGUCCUCCGAAUUCUUAGUCCUUUACUACCUGUUUUUCUCAUUGUCUUAUUCCGUUCUUUUUUCAAUUCAUACGAAACCAUAUCCAGGCCAUCACCAAUAAUUCUAUACAACAAAUGUUUCUUCUAACAACCCCACAAUAUCACCCCUUACCACAAAAUCUUCCUUCAGCUUAAUCUCUCCCAGUCUAGGUUCCCACACCACCCCUAAUCCCGCUCGAAGCAGCCCUGAGAAACAUCGCCUGUUAUCUCUCCAAAGCACCCCCAAAAAUUUUCGCCACCCCAACACUUCAACACUAUUUUAAUUUUUCUUAUUAAUAUAAGAAGACAGGAAUGUCAGGCCUCUGAGCCCCAGCUAAGCCAUCAUAUCCCCUGUGACCUGCACGUAUACAUGCAAAUGGCCUGAAGUAACUGAAGAAUCACAAAAGAAGUGAAAUUUAAAUGGCCUGUUCCUGCCUUAACUGAUGACAUUCCACCACAAAACAAGUGAAAAUGGCCAGUCCUUGCCUUAACUGAUGACAUUACCUUGUGAAAUUCCUUCUCCUGGCUCAUCCUGGCUCAAAAAGCUCCCCCAAUGACCACCUUGUGACCCCCACUCCUGCCCACCAGAGAACAACCCCUCUUUGACUGUAAUUUCCUUUACCUAUGCAAAUCUUAUAAAAUGGCCCCACCCCUGUCUCCCUUCACUGACACUCUUGUCGGACUCAGCCCGCCUGCACCCAGGUGAAAUAAACAGCCUUGUUGCUCACACAAAGCCUGUUCAGCGGUCUUUUCACGUGGACGCGAGUGAAAAAAAGAACUCUUUAAGAGAUUAAAAAAACAACUCUCAACUUUUAGUCUACUUCUUCACUAGAGUUCAAGCAAACUACAACCUGUGGACUAAAUAUGAACCUUGGGCCUGUUUCACAUUGCUCACAAGUUAAGAAUAUUUUUUAGGCUUUUCAAGAGUUAAAAAUAAAAGAGAAGGAAAGAAGAGAGAGAGGGAGAAAAGAGAUACAGGAGACCAUAUGUGGACCCCAAUAGAGCUUGCAAAUUUACUUUAUGGACCUUUACUGAAAAAGUUUGCCAACUCCUGACUCCUGGACCAACAUUUUCCUUUGAGCUUGCUGUCACUAUCCUGGUCAGUAUGAAUUCUAGUCCAAAAAGUGUCUCCUAUUUCAAAGCUUUGACCUGGAAGAGAGCGUCUGUUUUAUAGUAUAAGAGUUUCUGAUUUAUAGUAUGAGAGUUCUUAGGAUCCAUAUCUUACUGUGGUCUCCAUGAACCAACCAGCAAAUUAGAUCCUGAGAUCUAAUUUGAGUGCUAUUUGAGAUCCAGCUUUGAGUGCUAUUCUCAGAAAACUGCCAUACUUUCUAGUUGGUUUUCUUCCUCUGUAUUUGCAUAAUAGAAACACUUAGGGAGAAUCAAAAUGUAAGCUACUGCCUCCAUCUUCCCAAAAUGUCAACUUGAUGUCUUUCCUUUAAACUGAAGGAUGAAGAAGACUUGGAAAGAUGGGGAACAUUUCUGCAUUCUCAUUAUAUAAACUGGAAUGUAAUUUUUUUAAAGGAGCAAGUCUAUGUUCAAUAAAUGCUUAGUAGCUUGAUUUAUUGCUUCUUUCUCUCUCAUCUGCAAAUAUUCAAUUACUUUUUAAAUAUGUUAAUAAAACUGAGCAAAUAAUUACAUUUCAAUUUAUAUACCAAUCUACAGAACAAAGAAGUUCCCCUCAGAGAAAGUAGAGUACUUCUAAUGGGUUAAUUCUAUAUCUCCUUUGAUUAAUAAAGCAGCCCAUAGAGAGUUUACGGCCUUUUACUUUCUUUGUUUCAGAAUUACUUCCCAUGUAUGAAGCAUAAUGAGAACCUCCAUAAUUAAAUAUAUUCUAUGAGAAUUCAUCCACAAAUAACUCUUUAAAAUUUCAAGGAAAAUAUAUAAAAUAACUCUGAGGAGACCCCUGAGAACAAUCAAGAUCAGAAAGAAACUACUGGAAAGCAUUUAACUCUUUCUUGAAAGAACCAGAGAAUUAUGAUGGUUCAGAGAAGAGACCAUUACUUCCAGGGUGAUUGUCUAGAGAGAGUGGCAUUUUAGGCAGCUUUUGAAAAUGAAAAGCUUUGAAUUUUGAUUGUUUGACAUGUUUGUAUAGGACAUUCUAAUACAUAAGGUCAUGUUAAUAAAUGUUCACAAAUCAGAUAAAAGAACAGCUUGCAAGUUCAGACACUGUAUUUUAUACAAUUAUUCCUUGGCCAAGGCUUCUGCAAUUUGAUUUUAAAGUUUUAAGUUAAAAACAAUGAAUUUUAUAUUCAGUCACAACUAAACCUCAAUAUAUUAACAUUAUUAAAACCAAAGAAUCAAGUCUUAACCACCAGCAUAUCCAAGAAAUUCCUCCUGAUUUACUAUUUAGACAUAAAAAAGAAACAAAAGCAUACAAAGACAUGAAACUUACCCAGGCUACAAUUCAUGCACCACUUCUCAAGGGACAAGAAACUGAACUGUUAUUGAGCAUCUUCCAUUUUAUCAAGCUUACUGAGAAAGUAAUUAAUGUGUAUCAUUGUUUCAUGUAUGUCUACUCUAUGCAAAAAACUAUUCUAGAUACUGUAGAAAACGUUUCCCUUCUUGAAGUUUGCAUAGUAGUAAGGGAAACAUACAUGUUAGCUCAGGGAGGCAUGAAUGAGAUCUCUGCAUUUAUCAGUCCAAUGUCAUAAAUAUCCCUGGCUAUUCAGAAACAGAAAACAUUUUCUCUUCCCCCUGUCCGAUUUGCAUUCCUUUCUUCAGAAUUCCCAUAGUAGUACUGUUCAUCUAUUACGGCACUUCUUAAACUAUAUUAUAAUUAUAUAUUUGACUUGCUUUGAUAACAUAGCAAGAUAUUACAGGCAAAGAAUCAGCCAUCACCAUGUUUUGCCUCUCAGAACUUUGGAAGUACAUGAAUUCCAU